rnacentral:lncRNA from 1 species
CAGCCAGUGCCCUGAGUGGACAUGGCUGCGCGUCCGCGGACUACUUGAGGGGGUUCGCAACCGCAUAAGCGUUUGCUGGCUGUGCUCGUUUCCUCAUGUUGCAGGCGGGCUUAUCCUGGGGUAGGGGAGCUGGGGGGACCAGAGCAAGCUUACGGCUGGCAACACAGAUGGUUGUCGUUACCGAUCCUGACUUGAAGGCAGUAUCUCACAACCGCUCAGAUUCCACAUCAACAAGCGAUAAUGCGCAAGUAAAUUGAUGCUUUCUCUUCAUCGCUGUACCUGACCUAACCACAGAGCUGAGAGCAGCGAGCAUGUUUUCAAACUAUACCUUUUGCUGUCCCUGAGGCACAAUCCUGUUUUCUACUGGAGUGGAGCACUACUGCUAAGAUGGUCAGCAUGCAAAUGCUGUUAGGGAACUGACCAAACUGUAGAAAAAUCAGUGAUGUGACUGAACAGAGCACAGCAUUCUCAUGCAAAUGGAAGCAGAGAAGCUCCUACAGAAUGCAGUUCCACACACAAACUGAGUUAUCUAAACUUCCACUUGGAAAAGCUUACCUUCAUCCAUAAACUUGAAAGGGAAUAUAAGGGACCACUCUUCUU